UGCAACGCGAAAAACCUUACCCGACCUUUGACAUGGCAGGAAUCCUAAAGAGUAUUGGAGUGCUCGAAAGAGAACCUGCACACAGGUGCUGCAUGGCUGUCGUCAGCUCGUGUCGUGAGAUGUUGGGUUAAGUCCCGCAACGAGCGCAACCCUUGCCAUUAGUUGCUACGAAAGGGCACUCUAAUGGGACUGCCGGUGACGGACCGGAGGAAGGUGGGGAUGACGUCAAGUCCUCAUGGCCCUUAUAGGUGGGGCUACACACGUCAUACAAUGGCCGGUACAGAGGGUAGCCAACCCGCGAGGGGGAGCCAAUCCCACAAAGCCGGUCGUAGUCCGGAUCGCAGUCUGCAACUCGACUGCGUGAAGUCGGAAUCGCUAGUAAUCGCGGAUCAGCAUGUCGCGGUGAAUACGUUCCCGGGUCUU
rnacentral:rRNA from 1 species